GCAAAAGAAAGAGAAGUGCCGGUCACUGCCCACCUGAGGUGUAACUUGACUGAUCCACAGUCUCUGUAGUCUGCACGUUCCUCGACUCCCUCCCUGCUUUGAAGGAACACUCGACAGACUUGUCAGCCAGAGGCAAGCUGUACUGCGUGCCAACCUCGACCUGACUGAUGACCUUUGAAUGGGUGGGGCAUGCCAUUUGCAGCUAAACUUUCAG
rnacentral:lncRNA from 1 species